AACUUUUGGCAAUGGAUCACUUGGUUCUCCUAUCGAUGAAGAACGCAGCGAAAUGCGAUAAGUAAUGUGAAUUGCAGAAUUCAGUGAAUCAUCGAAUCUUUGAACGCACCUUGCGCCCUUUGGUAUUCCGAAGGGCAUGCCUGUUUGAGUGUCAUUAAAUUCUCAACCUUGCAAGCUUUUUUGGCUAGUGAGGCUUGGAUGUGAGGGCUUUUGCUGGCUUCCUUCAUUUGGAUGGUCUGCUCCCUUUAAAUUCAUUAGUGGAUUCCUUUGUGAAUGGUCACUUGGUGUGAUAAUUAUCUACGCCGCCUGACUCUGAAACAAGACUUGUGGGGACCUGCUCAUAACCGUCUCUUUCAAGAGACAAUCUAUAUUGACAAUUUGACCUCAAAUCAGGUAGGACUACCCGCUGAACUUAAGCAUAUCAAUAAGCGGAGGCU
rnacentral:misc_RNA from 1 species